ACCCCAAGUUUGGAGAGCAGAGAUGUUUCUGGACUGUGUUUAAGAAGAGAUGGGCUCAAGGAGGCCGCUCUGAAAAGGUGGAGCAGAGGAUAGCAAAACAGGGCCAUCGUCAGGGAGGAAGACAGAUGGACCAAUGAAUCAUUCGUGCAGAUAAGCUGGGUGCUGUGAUGGGCACUCUGUCACUCAGAAAGGUCUAACAUCCUCACAACUCCCCAUGAGUCAACGCACAACGCACAACGCACAACGCACAACAACUCAAGACUAGUUAGUGAGAAAACUGGAUUCAAACUCAGUUCUACCCUACUCCCAACUUGGAUCCUGACCCUCUCCACAUUGCCAGUGUCCUUGCUCAUGGUGGUGG